rnacentral:rRNA from 1 species
GUCGAACGGUAACAGGUUAAGCUGACGAGUGGCGAACGGGUGAGUAAUGCAUCGGAACGUGCCCGGUCGUGGGGGAUAACGCAGCGAAAGCUGCGCUAAUACCGCAUACGAUCUGAGGAUGAAAGCGGGGGACCGUAAGGCCUCGCGCGAUCGGAGCGGCCGAUGUCAGAUUAGGUAGUUGGUGGGGUAAAGGCUCACCAAGCCGACGAUCUGUAGCUGGUCUGAGAGGACGACCAGCCACACUGGGACUGAGACACGGCCCAGACUCCUACGGGAGGCAGCAGUGGGGAAUUUUGGACAAUGGGCGCAAGCCUGAUCCAGCAAUGCCGCGUGCAGGAAGAAGGCCUUCGGGUUGUAAACUGCUUUUGUACGGAGCGAAAAGGUCUUCCCUAAUACGGGAGGCUGAUGACGGUACCGUAAGA